UACGGAGGGGGCAAGCGUUAUUCGGAAUUAUUGGGCGUCAAGGGCGCGUAGGCGGCUAGAUGUGUCAAAGGUGAAAUCCCUCGGCUCAACUGAGGAACUGCCUUUGAAACUGUCUGGCUUGAGGCCGGGAGAGGGUAGCGGAAUUCCCAGUGUAGCGGUGAAAUGCGUAGAUAUUGGGAGGAACACCAGUGGCGAAGGCGGCUACCUGGACCGGUUCUGACGCUGAGGCGCGAAAGCGUGGGUAGCAAACAGG
rnacentral:rRNA from 1 species